AGAAAUAUUCUUGAUGAAAAUGUUAAUAACUUUUUCUUUUUUUUUCUUGAAAACUGGCAUUGCUCCAAAAAUAAUAAUGUAUCAAAAUCAAGGUUGUGAAUGAUUGACAUGUUCAAGGCUCCAAUUCUUCACAUCUGUAAAAUAUUUUUGGCAUAUUCAGCAUUUUUUUUCCAUAGAAUACAAUUUUCUUUGACAA